AUAAAAAUCACUGGCCACCAGAAAAGCAGCCUCAGAAUGUAAGUUUUCCUGCUUGGUUAUAACCUCGUACAGUUUUGAAAACUCCACCCAAAACCACUCAUUCCUUUAAUUUACAGUGUUAAAUAACAUUAAUAUUUUUGGAGUUAUAAUAAGGUUGGUAGCAACAUGGAGAAUCUGUUGCAGCUCAAUUUGACUACAAAAUCCACAAUUCAAUGCUCACUAUGGACUGGCUGGCAAGCUAGCUAGCAAAUGUAGCUACACACAAUAACAAAGACAAUAUCAGCAUGUAACAUAGCUAGUUAGCUGGCAAAUCUCCUAAACAAACUGCACUACCAAUUUAGGAGUCUACAUCCAGUGGCUCGAUGUGCCUCAGAUGGGAAAUGUUGCCCACGCUACACCAAUUGCUGCGUAUUGCAUUCUGGGUGAAUCUGGGACAAGGGCGCUCCCCUUCAAGGAGUCUAUUGGGUGCUAGCUCAAAAUCCCGUCAACAAGAAUUACAACAUCACAUAUCUUUCCCGAGAUGUGAGAUAAUUAACUUGCCAUCAGUGGUAUCGUAUAGAAUCGUGACAUUACGUAAUUGAGGAAAAUAGACACGUUUCUCCACAUAUACACUGACUUCGAGAAGGGAUUGCGUGACGAUUAGCUUAGCAACCACAUGACACCGCAUGACAACGUGAAUGGGUGGGGCGUCUGUUGGGUGGGGCGUUAAACAAUACGUUCCUUCAGUCAUUGAACAAGAUAAGUAUAUCUCCUUUCUAUAUCCAGGGUGCACCAUACAAAUAGGAAAAAUGUGCUAGACCCUCUGUUAAAUUGCACAUUUCUCGAGGUAGGAAUAUUGCAAAAAAUAUGAUCAAUAGCUCAUUUGAGAGAAGCUAUCCUCCCGAGUUAUGAGAUCGGCCAGUAUUGAAAUCUGACACCUAUGAAAGGCGUUGCGUCAUUUUCCUAUUAACUUCCAGUGUAAUGAGAGCGACUUUAACACAGUGCUACAUCAUACUGGCCAAAUUUCUGCCUGAUUGAAUGCCAAUGACUCAGAUACACAUGAAAUUACCCUGGAAAUCGAUAGAACAUCACUCAGAGAUGCACAAAAACAAUAUAACGUUCAAAAUGGGUGAACCUUUCCGUUAAGUGCUUGUUAUUUUUCUUCUGAGGUGGAAUGCACACAGGCCCGAUAACAGCUGAAAUCUCCCUUGGGAGGUAAAAAGGUUGGCAUUUGACCAUCAUGUAUUCCAAGACGGGUUGAAUAAUGGGUUGACACUUCCACCGCCCUCGAAGUCAGCACACCAGUUGCUGUUGGUGAAGAAGCAAACCCCCCCCCCCCUCGAUUUCCACCAACUCCAUUGUCCUGUCAGCAUGGUGAAUGGAGAAUCAAUCGAGUUGGAUAGCCAACUCUUGUUCAAGAGCCAUGUUUCAGAAAAGCAGAGAAUAUUGCAGUUUCGAGAGUCCCGUUGGUAGCAAAUAUGCGAUCGGAGGUCAUCUAUCUUAUUAUCAAGGGGCGCGCUGCCCAGUCGCAAUUGUAAAUGAGAACUUGUUCUCAACUGGCCUACCUGGUUAAAUAAAGGUGAAAUAAAACAAAUAUAAGAAAAACAUCAAGUGACUGGCCAUUGCCCAGUAGAAUGCUGAGAUCCCCUUGCCAGGAUCCCCUUGCCAGGAUCCCCCCUCUUUUGCCUCUAACGUCUGCUUUUCCUCUUGGGCAGUCCAAAAAUUGGGUCGGAAUUACAGAAAGAACCCAGGGCAGAUAAGUCGAAGUUGUAGCUGGAAUUGAGGUAAGAAACUGCCAACUGAUGUUCACAAGUUUUUGCCGGUUGUAAGAAAUUAUAGAGGAUACAUUGAGAAUACAUUACACUGAUUGAAGAGGAUUUAUCAAGUGAUAAAGGAUUCACCUGGUCAGUCUAUAUUAUAUUUGAGCAACACUACAUGUUAUUGUGGAGAGGGGUACAGAAAGAGUCUGCUAACCAAUGACAAACAAUAACUUUUACUGACCUAUUAGCAGGUGGUACAAUGAAUGUACCACCUCUGAAGGUACUGUUAUUUUUCUCCCUCAACUCUGUUUACUUUGCUAUAUCUCCUGGGCUGUUGUUAGAUUCCAUAGACACAACAGGACAAAGCAUAAAUCAAGAAAGACUGGAGGAAUGGUUUAGAAAAUGUUGGGAAGGAAACUGAACAGAAUGCAUACCUGUUGCUCUGUUUUCCCAGACACCCACUGAAAUUUAAAACACCUGUUCUGGGCAGAUAGUAUAGACCAUGGGUUGUGUUUGCACCUUUAUUGUGCCACGGAGAUGAGUGCGAACACAAAGCAGCCAUAGGGAGGAGUCCCUUUCAAGGAGCCAGCAGGACAAUUCCUCCAUUCUUCUGUAUCCUUACCUUGGGAUAUGACUAGUCUCUUAUUCUUAAUGUAAUUUUAAGUCAUUCUUCAUGUGGUGCCGGGAACAAAUGCGAGCAAUUUUCUAGCAGGACUGAAGACAGCUGAGGGAAUUGUCAUUGUGUGAUUUAACAAAGUAAUGUAUAUCUGCUAGGCACAUUGUGCCCAGACAACAUCUGCUACAUCUGCUACAUCUGAAGACAAAAACAUUGAAAUGAUAAGCAUGCAUGGAAUCCUUAUUUCAAUGAUAAGGAGAUGAUAACCCUGGUAUUUGUGAUGAGUUAUGUGAUUAUUGCUACUGGAUGAUUUUCAAGUUACUUUAUAUGUUGACCAUCUUUUAACAAUAAUACCUUUUUCACUAAAAGACGAUAUAAUUUGUUUAUAGAGUAUAAGUUCAUGCCAUAGAAGCUUUAGACCACCACCUGCUGGCAUAUUCCCUAACAAAACAAAGGGGAUAAUACUUUUGAGGCACUCCUACACGUUGAUCAGUUAAUUAACUCUCCCUGUUUAACUAAUUAACCUUACUAGACUCCUAUAGCUGCAUUAUACCAUUAUGAUUGUACAGGUUUUCUCCUCUCUAUUAUCAAGCAGCUGGACUUGCAGGCUAAUAUUGACAGAUGAGGCGAAUUUAACGUACACGGACAAACUGUUUUUAAAAGCUUAAUUUUAAAGGACUUAGUAAGUACAUACAUUUGUUUGACACUGUAGAUAGUUUGUUUACAAGCUUUUCUGAGGCUUGGCAAAUGAUUGGCUAUGCACAAAAGCUGUCAAAGUAGCCAAAGUGUGUUAUUCCAUUGGAAACUACUCUCUCUUAUAAACAGCACACUCGGUCUUAUAAAUAGCAGCCAAACAGCAGAGCAAGGGCUUUCUAUCUCCUUUUGGUUACUAUGGUCCUUGUUUGUUCUAUAGAAAACCCACUGCCCCCCUACUACCACUCUCCCACCUUCCAAAACCCCCCUGCUCAUAUCUUUCCUCCCACUCCCCCUCGCCCACCUAUCCAGACUCAGACAGUCUCUCAAGCCCCAACGCCUCAGUCUCAGCCUUUCUGAUGGGGAGGAUCAGCUGGACCGCCUCAAGCAGGUGGAGCUUGCCCGGGGCAUACCCAUGUUGCUGUGGAGGGCAGGCACCGUGCAGGCCUGGCUGGAGGUAGUCAUGGCGAUGCCCAUGUACAUUCGCGGCUGCUCUGAGAAUGUGAAGAGUGGCAAGGCUGUCAAAGGCUGCAGACAUGGACCGCCACUGGGUGGCCAAGGCCAGGCUGAAUGACGUGGGGCUUCCGCAGUACUCGCAGGCCUUCCACACACACCUGGUGGACGGGCGCAUGCUCAACUCUGUGACACAACGUAAUCUGGAGAGGUCCCUCGACGUCACCAAGAAGGCCCACCAGGUCAGCCUGCUGCUGGGCAUCGAGCUGCUGCACACGCUCAACUUUGACAACGAGAUUCCUGUUGUAAGCUCUGGACCAUUACUCCAGAUCAUCGCAGCUAGCU